rnacentral:rRNA from 1 species
CCCGCUGAACUUAAGCAUAUUAUUAAGCGGAGGAAAAGAAACUAACCAGGAUUCCCUCAGUAGCGGCGAGUGAAGCGGGAACAGCUCAUCUUUUAAAUUGGGUCACCCUUGGAUGGGUACCCGAAUUGUAGUGUAUGAAGGGUGGUUGUCCUUGGUCACCCCCCCCCCGAAAUCCUUUGGAACAAGGUAUCAUGGAGGGUGAGAAUCCCGUACUUGUAUGGGGUGGUAGGGGGUGGUCAAUACGUGUCCUGCCCUUUUAGAGUCGGGUUGUUUGGGACUACAGCCCUAAGUGGGUGGUAAAUUCCAUCCAAAGCUAAACAUGGACGAGAGACCGAUAGCGAACAAGUACCGUGAGGGAAAGAUGCAAAGAACUUUGAAAAGAGAGUCAAAAGUGCUUGAAAUUGUUGAAAGGGAAACGAUUAGGUAAUCCUGUUGAAAAAUGAUUUUUUCAUGGGCUCAGUUUUAUAUUUUAAUUCUAAUUUUUAUUUUUCAAUUGUAAUCAAAAGGUCAUGAUUGAAAGGUUUGAAUUAUUUUUGAUAUGAAAUGCAUUUCCAUGAAAAUCCUUUAAUCAAGGUCAGCUAUGAAAUUCAUUAAAAAAAUUAUGAUGAGGUGGUUCAAUAUUUCAUUCUUGAAAUUUAAUAUUGGAUUCAAACAUGAUCAUUUUUAUAAUGAUGAAUUUUUGGCUGAGGGUGAAAAAUCCAACUGUUUUUUGUUUUAAAUGGGGUACCCAAGGUACUCCUUUAAAACAAUAAUUUAAACAUGGACCUUGAUUUUUAAACGGACCUAACCGACCCGUCUUGAAACACGG